rnacentral:rRNA from 1 species
UACGUAGGGGGGCAAGCGUUGUCCGGAUUUAUUGGGCGUAAAGAGCUCGUAGGCGGCUUGGCAAGUCGGGUGUGAAAACUCCAGGCUCAACCUGGAGAUGCCACUCGAGACUGCUAUGGCUAGAGUCCGGUAGGGGACCACGGAAUUCCUGGUGUAGCGGUGAAAUGCGCAGAUAUCAGGAGGAACACCGGUGGCGAAGGCGGUUCUCGUGGGCAUUACCUGACGCUGGAGGAGCGAAAGUGUGGGGAGCAAACAGG